rnacentral:lncRNA from 1 species
UGCCACCUAGACAAACGGGCAUGGACCAAUUUUACUGACGAGGCAUGAAGAGAUAAACACAAAAUCAAAUUUAGAUUUGAUUUUCCAUUUUCUUUUGUGAGUAGAAGAGAUUUUGGAUUUAGCAAUGGCGUUUGGGAAUGGAGUUUGGAUCUGAGUAAUGGAUAUUGGAGAUCUGGUUGUGGUGUUUUUGAUUGAACUGAUUUUGGGCUUGGCUCCUCCUUCACCUUCUUCAUUCUUCUGUCAUCUCUCCACCCUUAGCCUCUUGUGACCCCUCCUUCUUGCGGUCCACCCAUGCUUCAGAGCUUGGAUUUGAUCUGGUAAGUUGUGUGGGAUGAGCUUUUCGUGGGAUUUGACUUUAGAGUGUUGGAUUUAGCUGCUAUUGUCAGAAUUUGGAAUCCAGUAUGGCGGUGAUUUUAUCGAAAUCUGGGAUUUGGAUUUUGGGCGUUUGGUGUUCCAUUUCAGCUUGCUUGGGGCUUGAUGUUUAUCUGUGUUGCACCUGAUUUGGGUUUGUUUUAUUGUGAUCCCCGACCUAUUUUCGACGGCCUGGUUCUAUUUUAUUUCUUUAUUUUAUUUUGGAUGUCUGAUUUGGGUUCGUGUUUUGGUGGCAUGUUCUCCCUUUUGAUUUCAUGUGUUGUUAUAAUCUAUAUCUUCCAUUAAAUCAUGUACGAGUGUUUGUUUAAUCUGGGUUGUUCAAACUGGGUUAGAUGUUUGUGACUUCGCCGAUAUAUGGAAAAUCUGUGGCAUGAUGUUUAAUUCCAAUUUAUCAUUAUGAUUUUUAAUGUUUAGUAAAUGAUUUAUUGGUUUUGAUUUCAAUUCUUCUUCCAUGUUCAACCGUUAUCCCACCGUCGGAUAUCGAUCUCCUUAUCCUCCUCCUCUACCGGCCCACCCAAUUUGGAUAUGCUUUUGGAGCUUUGGUGAUUUAGGUCCGUGAUGCUUUGAUUUGUGGCUGAUGUGGUUGUGUUGGGUUUGGGCAAGGGUUUAUUUUUUUGCCGAAUGACCUUUAUGGUUUGGGUGAUCGGAAACUAUAGUUUCCCGACUGUUGCAGAUGUGACUUUCAUUUUUGGAUUCUGUGUUUGAUCUGAAUACCUUGUUCGAAGUCUAAAUUUAAUUUAACUCUCUUCAUGCCUUGUCAGCAAAAUUAGUCCGGGCGUUAGCAAAAAAUUUCCACAUGUAAUGCAAUGUCUGUUAGGUGUAGGAAUAUAGUUGAUAUAAAAUUUGUAAAGUCAUGUGUAUUUUUGAAAAAAAAAAAAAUUCAAGAUGUAAAUGAAACUUCGAGAUAAA